rnacentral:rRNA from 1 species
GACGAACGCUGGCGGCGUGCUUAACACAUGCAAGUCGAACGCUGAAGCUCAGCUUUUGUUGGGUGGAUGAGUGGCGAACGGGUGAGUAACACGUGAGUAACCUGCCUCCUUCUUUGGGAUAACGCCCGGAAACGGGUGCUAAUACUGGAUAUUCACUGGUCUUCGCAUGGGGGUUGGUGGAAAGGGUUUUUCUGGUGGGGGAUGGGCUCGCGGCCUAUCAGCUUGUUGGUGGGGUGAUGGCCUACCAAGGCUUUGACGGGUAGCCGGCCUGAGAGGGUGACCGGUCACAUUGGGACUGAGAUACGGCCCAGACUCCUACGGGAGGCAGCAGUGGGGAAUAUUGCACAAUGGGCGCAAGCCUGAUGCGGCGACGCCGCGUGAGGGAUGGAGGCCUUCGGGUUGUGAACCUCUUUCGCUCAUGGUCAAGCCGCAACAAUGGUUGUGGUGAGGGUAGUGGGUAAAGAAGCGCCGGCUAACUACGUG